GAAGGUAUAGCUCAAAGUGGUAGGGUGCAUGCUUAGCAUGUCCGAGGUCCCGGGUUCAAUCCCCAGUACCUCCU
rnacentral:tRNA from 1 species